rnacentral:lncRNA from 9 species
AAGGUUCCCGGUGCCCCGCCUUCCCUGAAGCCCAUAAAAGCACACGUCCCCGCCUAGGCAGCCACUGGACACCUGCAUCUGCGGGCAAGACUGAAAACAGAAAGCGACACAGACUAUGAAGUUUGAUGGUCUGGAAAACGGAGACCAACCGCGCUGACUACCUGGAAGGAGGCAUAUCUCGAAGAGGAUCAGAGAGGA